rnacentral:rRNA from 1 species
AUUGAACGCUGUCGGCAGGCCUAACGCAUGCAAGUCGAGCGAUCGGCGGACGGUUGAUUAAUGUAUGGGGACUGCCAGCUAUAGGGGGAUAACCACUGGUAACGGUAGCUAAUACCGCAUACUAUCGGAUAACCCAUAUGGGAUUAGCUAGUAGGUGAGGUAAUGGUUCACCUAGGCGACGAUCCCUAGAUGGUCUGAGAGGAUGAUCAGCAACAUGGGGACUGAGACACGGCCCAGACUCCAAGGGCGGCAGCAGUGGGGAAUAUUGAACAGUGGGGGCAAGCCUGAUGCAGCCAUGCCGGGUGUAUGAAGAAGGCCUUAGGGUUGUAAAGUACUUUCAGUCGGGAGGCGUUACCGACAGAAGAAGCACCGGCUAACUCCGUGCCAGCAGCCGCGGUAAUAC